GAUGAACGCUGGCGGCGUGCUUAACACAUGCAAGUCGAGCGAGAAGUUUUGAAAAGAUUCUUCGGAUGAAAUUUAAAAUGGAAAGCGGCGGACGGGUGAGUAACGCGUAGGCAACCUGCCCCAUACAAAGGGAUAGCAUUUGGAAACGAAUAUUAAUACCUUAUGAAACUUAACUAGUGCAUGCUAGGUAGGUCAAAGAUUUAUCGGUAUGGGAUGGGCCUGCGUCUGAUUAGCUAGUUAGUGAGGUAACGGCUCACCAAGGCGACGAUCAGUAGCCGACCUGAGAGGGUGAACGGCCACAUUGGAACUGAGACACGGUCCAAACUCCUACGGGAGGCAGCAGUGGGGAAUAUUGCACAAUGGGGGAAACCCUGAUGCAGCAACGCCGCGUGAACGAUGAAGGCCUUUGGGUCGUAAAGUUCUGUUCUAGGUGAUGAAAACUGACAGUAACCUAGGAGAAAGCCCCGGCUAACUCCGUG
rnacentral:rRNA from 1 species